CAGUAGCCGCGGUAAUACAGAGGGUGCGAGCGUUAAUCGGAUUUACUGGGCGUAAAGCGUGCGUAGGCGGCUUCUUAAGUUGGAUGUGAAAUCCCUGAGCUUAACUUAGGAAUUGCAUUCGAUACUGGGAAGCUAGAGUAUGGGAGAGGAUGGUAGAAUUCCAGGUGUAGCGGUGAAAUGCGUAGAGAUCUGGAGGAAUACCGAUGGCGAAGGCAGCCAUCUGGCCUAAUACUGACGCUGAGGUACGAAAGCAUGGGGAGCAAACAGGAUUAGAGACCCGUGUAGUCCCUGUCUCUUAUAA
rnacentral:rRNA from 1 species